GAGCGGACAGAUGGGAGCUUGCUCCCUGAUGUUAGCGGCGGACGGGUGAGUAACACGUGGGUAACCUGCCUGUAAGACUGGGAUAACUCCGGGAAACCGGGGCUAAUACCGGAUGCUUGUUUGAACCGCAUGGUUCAAACAUAAAAGGUGGCUUCGGCUACCACUUACAGAUGGACCCGCGGCGCAUUAUCUAGUUGGUGAGGUAAUGGCUCACCAAGGCGACGAUGCGUAGCCGACCUGAGAGGGUGAUCGGCCACACUGGGACUGAGACACGGCCCACACUCCUACGGGAGGCAGCAGUAGGGAAUCUUCCGCAAUGGACGAAAGUCUGACGGAGCAACGCCGCGUGAGUGAUGAAGGUUUUCGGAUCGUAAAGCUCUGUUGUUAGGGAAGAACAAGUACCGUUCGAAUAGGGCGGUACCUUGACGGUACCUAACCAGAAAGCCACGGCUAACUACGUGCCAGCAGCCGCGGUAAUACGUAGGUGGCAAGCGUUGUCCGGAAUUAUUGGGCGUAAAGGGCUCGCAGGCGGUUUCUUAAGUCUGAUGUGAAAGCCCCCGGCUCACCCGGGGAGGGUCAUUGGAAACUGGGGAACUUGAGUGCAGAAAAGGAGAGUGGAAUUCCCCGUGUACCGGGGAAAUGCGUAAAGAUGUGGAGGAACACCAGGGGCGAAAGGCGACUCUCUGGUCUGUUUCUGACGCUGAGGAACAAAAGCGUGGGGAGCGAACAGGAUUAAAUACCCUGGGUACCCCCCCCCCUAAACCGAUGAAUGCUAAAUGUUAGGGGGUUUCCCCCCCCUUAUUGCUGCCACUAAACACAUUAAGGCACUCCGCCC
rnacentral:rRNA from 1 species